ensembl:misc_RNA 7SK 7SK RNA
GGAUGUGAGGCCAAUCUGGCUGUGACAUCUGUCACUCCACUGAUCACCAGGGUUGAUUUGGCUGAUCUGGCUGGCUAGGCAGGUGUCCCCAUCCUCCCUCACCACUCCAUGUGCGUCCUUCCCAAAGCUGUGCACUCAGUUGAAGAGGACAGCCUUCUCCGAAUAGAGAUGGACGGGUCUUCAGUCAAGAGUAUACGAGUAGCUGUGUUCCCCUGCUAGAACCUCCAAACAAGCUCUCAAGAAAUGCCCAUCCCUAUCUUUUUCAAAUUUUAUUUAUUUUAGGGCCUAUUGUGUCAGAUAUAAGAAUAGAUGUUCCU